GAUGAACGCUGGCGGCGUGCCUAAUACAUGCAAGUCGAGCGAACAGACGAGGAGCUUGCUCCUCUGACGUUAGCGGCGGACGGGUGAGUAACACGUGGAUAACCUACCUAUAAGACUGGGAUAACUUCGGGAAACCGGAGCUAAUACCGGAUAAUAUAUUGAACCGCAUGGUUCAAUAGUGAAAGACGGUUUUGCUGUCACUUAUAGCUGGAUCCGCGCCGCAUUAGCUAGUUGGUAAGGUAACGGCUUACCAAGGCAACGAUGCGUAGCCGACCUGAGAGGGUGAUAGGCCACACUGGAACUGAGACACGGUCCAGACUCCUACGGGAGGCAGCAGUAGGGAAUCUUACGCAAUGGGCGAAAGCUUGACGGAGCAACGCCGCGUGAGUGAUGAAGGUCUUCGGAUCGUAAAACUCUGUUAUUAGGGAAGAACAAAUGUGUAAGUAACUAUGCACGUCUUGACGGUACCUAAUCAGAAAGCCACGGCUAACUACGUG
rnacentral:rRNA from 1 species